rnacentral:misc_RNA from 1 species
AAGUCGUAACAAGGUCUCCGUUGGUGAACCAGCGGAGGGAUCAUUGCUGGAACAAACGCCCUCACGGGUGCUACCCAGAAACCCUUUGUGAAUACUACCUAAAAAUGUUGCCUCGGCGCAGGUUGGCCCUUUUACAGGGUCCCUUCUCCCCUAGGGGUUAAGGAGCAGACCGGCCGGCGGCCCUAUAAACUCUUGUUUUUGUAAAAUCAUCUGAGUAAAAAAAAUAAAUGAAUCAAAACUUUCAACAACGGAUCUCUUGGUUCUG